rnacentral:rRNA from 1 species
UACGUAGGGUGCAAGCGUUGUCCGAAAUUAUUGGGUGUAAAGAGCUCGUAGGCGGUUUGUCGCGUCUGCUGUGAAAACUCGGGGCUUAACUCCGGGCCUGCAGUGGGUACGGGCAGACUAGAGUGCGGUAGGGGAGACUGGAAUUCCUGGUGUAGCGGUGAAAUGCGCAGAUAUCAGGAGGAACACCGGUGGCGAAGGCGGGUCUCUGGGCCGUAACUGACGCUGAGGAGCGAAAGCGUGGGGAGCGAACAGG